UACGUAGGGUGCGAGCGUUAAUCGGAAUUACUGGGCGUAAAGCGUGCGCAGGCGGUUUUUUAAGUCAGGUGUGAAAGCCCCGGGCUUAACCUGGGAAUGGCAUUUGGGACUGCAAGGCUUGAGUGCGGCAGAGGAGACUGGAAUUCCUGGUGUAGCAGUGAAAUGCGUAGAUAUCAGGAGGAAUACCGAUGGCGAAGGCAGGUCUCUGGGCUGACACUGACGCUCAUGCACGAAAGCGUGGGGAGCAAACAGG
rnacentral:rRNA from 1 species